rnacentral:rRNA from 1 species
UACGUAGGGGGCUAGCGUUGUCCGGAAUCAUUGGGCGUAAAGCGCGCGUAGGCGGCCCGGUAAGUCCGCUGUAAAAGUCCAGGGCUCAACCCCGGACUUGCCAGUGGGUACGGGCGAGACUAGAGUGUGGUAGGGGAGACUGGAAGUUCCUGGUGUAGCGGUGAAAUGCGUAGAGAUCGGGAAGAACAUCAGUGGCGAAGGCGGCCUGCUGGGCUGUUGCUGACGCUG